rnacentral:rRNA from 1 species
CUACGUGCCAGCAGCCGCGGUAAUACGUAGGGUGCGAGCGUUAAUCGGAAUUACUGGGCGUAAAGCGAGCGCAGACGGUUACUUAAGCAGGAUGUGAAAUCCCCGGGCUUAACCUGGGAACUGCGUUCUGAACUGGGUGACUAGAGUGUGUCAGAGGGAGGUAGAAUUCCACGUGUAGCAGUGAAAUGCGUAGAGAUGUGGAGGAAUACCGAUGGCGAAGGCAGCCUCCUGGGAUAACACUGACGUUCAUGCUCGAAAGCGUGGGUAGCAAACAGGAUUAGAUACCCUGGUAGUCCACGCCCUAAACGAUGUCAAUUAGCUGUUGGGCAACUUGAUUGCUUAGUAGCGUAGCUAACGCGUGAAAUUGACCGCCUGGGGAGUACGGUCGCAAGAUUAAAACUCAAAGGAAUUGACGGGGACCCGCACAAGCGGUGGAGCAUGUGGUUUAAUUCGAAGCAACGCGAAGAACCUUACCAAGUCUUGACAUCCUUUGACCACUCUAGAGAUAGAGCUUUCC